rnacentral:rRNA from 1 species
AACGAACGCUGGCGGCAGGCCUAACACAUGCAAGUCGAGCGAAGCCUUCGGGCUUAGCGGCGGACGGGUGAGUAACGCGUGGAACGUGCCCUUUGGUCCGGAAUAGCCCCGGGAAACUGGGAGUAAUACCGUAUGUGGUCGAGAGACGAAAGAUUUAUCGCCAAAGGAUCGGCCCGCGUGGGGUUAGGUAGUUGGUGGGGUAAUGGCCUACCAAGCCGACGAUCCAUAGCUGGUUUGAGAGGAUGAUCAGCCACACUGGGACUGAGACACGGCCCAGACUCCUACGGGAGGCAGCAGUGGGGAAUCUUAGACAAUGGGGGAAACCCUGAUCUAGCCAUGCCGCGUGAUCGAUGAAGGCCUUAGGGUUGUAAGAUCUUUCAGUGGGGAAGAUAAUGACUGUACCCACAGAAGAAGCCCCGGCUAACUCCGUGCCAGCCGCCGCCGUAACAC